UACGGGGGGGGGCAAGCGUUGUUCGGAAUUACUGGGCGUAAAGGGCGCGUAGGCGGCCAGACAAAGUCGAGCGUUAAAUUCCAGGGCUUAACCCUGGGCUGUUGCUCGAUACUAGUCGGCUAGAGUGUGGAAGAGGGUGCUGGAAUUCCCGGUGUAGCGGUGAAAUGCGUAGAUAUCUGGAGGAACACCGGUGGCGAAGGCGGCAUCCUGGACCGGUAUUGACGCUGAUGCGCGAAAGCCAGGGGAGCAAACGGG
rnacentral:rRNA from 1 species